rnacentral:rRNA from 1 species
UUAGCCUACGGGGGGCAGCAGUGGGGAAUAUUGCACAAUGGGGGAAACCCUGAUGCAGCGACGCCGCGUGAGUGAGGAAGUAUUUCGGUAUGUAAAGCUCUAUCAGCAGGGAAGAAAAUGACGGUACCUGACUAAGAAGCCCCGGCUAACUACGUGCCAGCAGCCGCGGUAAUACGUAGGGGGCAAGCGUUAUCCGGAUUUACUGGGCUUAAAGGGUGCGCAGGCGGUCUGUUAAGUCAGCGGUCAAAGCCCGGGGCUCAACCCCGGCCCGCCGUUGAAACUGGCAGUCUCGAGGUGGAGAGAAG